rnacentral:rRNA from 1 species
GAUGAACGCUGGCGGCGUGCCUCAAACAUGCAAGUCGAGCGGGGCUAUGUAAUAUCGCAAGGUAGAACAUAGCCUAGCGGCGAACGGGUGAGUAACACGUGGGUAACCUGCCUGGAAGACAGGGAUAACGAUUCGAAAGGGUCGCUAAUACCUGAUAAUAUCCUUUCAUCGCAUGGUGAUAGGAAGAAAGGGGAAACCCGCUUUCAGAUGGGCCCGCGUCCCAUCAGCUAGUUGGUAAGGUAAAGGCUUACCAAGGCGACGACGGGUAGCCGGUCUGAGAGGAUGUACGGCCACACUGGGACUGAGAUACGGCCCAGACUCCUACGGGAGGCAGCAGUUGGGAAUCUUAGGCAAUGGACGAAAGUCUGACCUAGCGACGCCGCGUGAGGGAAGAAGGCCUUCGGGUUGUAAACCUCUGUCAUGGGGGAAGAAGUAAGUGACGGUACCCCAAGAGGAAGCCCCUGCUAACUACGUGCCAGCAGCCCGGGUAACUAUAGCGGACU